rnacentral:rRNA from 1 species
UACGUAGGGUGCAGGCGUUAAUCGGAAUUACUGGGCGUAAAGCGUGCGCAGGCGGUCUUUUAAGUCAGACGUGAAAUCCCUCGGCUUAACCGGGGAACUGCGUCUGAUACUGGACGGCUUGAGUUUGGGAGAGGGACGCGGAAUUCCAGGUGUAGCGGUGAAAUGCGUAGAUAUCUGGAGGAACACCGGUGGCGAAGGCGGCGUCCUGGACCAACACUGACACUGAGGAGCGAAAGCCAGGGGAGCAAACGGG